AGAGAUCUGGAGGAAUACCGGUGGCGAAGGCGGCCCCCUGGACGAAGACUGACGCUCAGGUGCGAAAGCGUGGGGAGCAAACAGGAUUAGAUACCCUGGUAGUCCACGCCGUAAACGAUGUCGACUUGGAGGUUGUGCCCUUGAGGCGUGGCUUCCGGAGCUAACGCGUUAAGUCGACCGCCUGGGGAGUACGGCCGCAAGGUUAAAACUCAAAUGAAUUGACGGGGGCCCGCACAAGCGGUGGAGCAUGUGGUUUAAUUCGAUGCAACGCGAAGAACC
rnacentral:rRNA from 2 species